rnacentral:lncRNA from 1 species
CAAGAAAAGGGCAAGACGCGUGUCUGCGAGAGGCGCGCGUGUGGACGGGUGACGCCGGGUGCGAUGCGAUGCCAGGCGCCCGCCUCGCCAAGCCUGCGCGAAGCCGCGGGGCGCUGCCUGCUGGGGGUCCUUUCGCAUUUUGAUUGAUUUUUUUUACCCCCACACCCCCUCCAGGCAUGCAAAGUCCUGCCUUUUUGCCUUCGGUUCUGGAAACUCGCGGCGCUUCCCCUGCUCUUCGCGAUCUGCCCGCAAAAAGAGGAUUAAAAAAAUAGCCCGGGAGACCUGCUGCACCCAGAGCCCGGCGCUGAUUUCCUGCAAAGACACGUAUAACCAGACAGUUGAAAGAAAGGGGAUCGCUUGGGAGUCUAGACGGUGUCACCGCCGGCGAUCUAUACCUGAACCGGCUAUUUCAAGAUUGACUCCUCCCUAA